CACGUAGGCGGGUAUUUAAGUCAGGGGUGAAAUCCCAGAGCUCAACUCUGGAACUGCCUUUGAUACUGGGUACCUAGAGUAUGGAAGAGGUAAGUGGAAUUCCGAGUGUAGAGGUGAAAUUCGUAGAUAUUCGGAGGAACACCAGUGGCGAAGGCGGCUUACUGGUCCAUUACUGACGCUGAGGUGCGAAAGCGUGGGGAGCGAACA
rnacentral:rRNA from 1 species